CCUACGGGGGGCAGCAGUGAGGAAUCUUGGUCAAUGGACGGAAGUCUGAACCAGCCAUGCCGCGUGCAGGAAGACGGCUCUAUGAGUUGUAAACUGCUUUUGUACAAGGGUAAACCUGAAUACGUGUAUUCAGCUGAAAGUACUGUACGAAUAAGGAUCGGCUAACUCCGUGCCAGCAGCCGCGGUAAUACGGAGGAUCCAAGCGUUAUCCGGAUUUAUUGGGGUUAAAGGGUGCGUAGGCGGAUUGAUAAGUUAGAGGUGAAAUGUCCGAGCUUAACUCGGGAACUGCCUCUAAUACUGUUGAACUAGAGAGUAGAUGCGGUAGGCGGAAUGUAUGGUGUAGCGGUGACAUGCUUAGAGAUCAUACAGAACACCGAUUGCGAAGGCAGCUUACCAAUCUAUAUCUGACGUUGAGCCACGAAAGCGUGGGGAGCGAACAGGAUUAGAUACCCCUGUAGUC
rnacentral:rRNA from 1 species